UACGGAGGGUGCAAGCGUUGCUCGGAAUUAUUGGGCGUAAAGGGUAGGUAGGUGGUCUCGUUUGUCUGGGGUGAAAGCCUUGAGCUUAACUCAAGAAGUGCCUUAGAAACGGCGAGGCUAGAGUCUUGGAGAGGGUCGUGGAAUUCCCGGUGUAGCGGUGAAAUGCGUAGAGAUCGGGAGGAACACCAGAGGCGAAGGCGGCGACCUGGGCAAGUACUGACACUCAACUACGAAAGCGUGGGGAGCAAACAGG
rnacentral:rRNA from 1 species